rnacentral:rRNA from 1 species
AUCGAACGCUGGCGGCAGGCCUAACACAUGCAAGUCGAGCGGAUGAAGGGAGCUUGCUCCUGGAUUCAGCGGCGGACGGGUGAGUAAUGCCUAGGAAUCUGCCUGGUAGUGGGGGAUAACGUCCGGAAACGGGCGCUAAUACCGCAUACGUCCUGAGGGAGAAAGUGGGGGAUCUUCGGACUUCACGCUAUCAGAUGAGCCUAGGUCGGAUUAGCUAGUUGGUGGGGUAAAGGCCUACCAAGGCGACGAUCCGCAACUGGCCUGAGAGGAUGAUCAGGCACACUGGGACUGAGACACUGACCAGACUCCUACGGGAGGCAGCAGUGGGGAUUAUUGGACAAUGGGCGACAGCAUGAUGCAGCAAUGCCGCGUGAGUGAUGAAGGCCGUAGGAUUGUAAAGCUCUUUUACCCGGGAUGAUAAUGACGGUACCGGGAGAAUAAGCUCCGGCUAACUCCGUG